GUCCCUGUAGCGCAAUGAAGAGUGUGAUGAACAUUUAAUUCAAAGGGGUCGUGGGUUCAAUUCCCACCUGGGAUG